UUUCGCUCUUCAACGAGGAAUCCCUAGUAAGCACAAGUCAUCAGCUUGUGCUGAUUACGUCCCUGCCCUUUGUACACACCGCCCGUCGCUACCACCGAUUGAAUGGCUUAGUGAGGCCCUCGGAUCGACGCUCAGAGACUGUAAAAGGUUUCCGUUCGUUGAGAAGUUGGUCAAACUUGGUCAUUUAGAGGAAGUAAAAGUCGUAACAAGGUUUCCGUAGGUGAACCUGCGGAAGGAUCAUUACUGAUUUGGCAAACCGAGCGUUAGCAAGGUUUUGCGAUCAAACUUAUAUUUGAAACCCCACUCUUUAAAAUGUAUAUAUUUUUUAUUUUGAAUGAUAAAAUUAAAAGAUCACUUUCAACAACGGAUCUCUUGGCUCUCGCAUCGAUGAAGAACGUAGCGAAGUGCGAUAAGUAAUGUGAAUUGCAGAAUUCCGUGAAUCAUCGAAUCUUUGAACGCAUAUUGCACUCUCUGGUAUUCCGGAGAGUAUGCCUGUUUGAGGGUCUGUUAAAUAAAGAUCGGGGUUGUUGCUGCUUUUUGUGGUGACGCUUCGGAAUUGGGUAGUCUUACCUUCGGGUUUAAGUGACCUAAAAUUUUUACAUGAUUUUUCGAACGUAUUUAAAUCUUUUACGUACGUUUGGUUAUAUCGAAUAUAUUAUGUGUGGUCAUCCUCAUGAUUCACGUCUAUAAUUUUUUUCAUUUUAGACCUCAAUCAGGUAAGAACACCUGCUGAACUUUAAGCAUAUCAAAUAAGCGGAGGGAAAAAGAAAAAUACAAUGAUUCCCUUAGUAACGGGCGAGUGAAGGGGGAUAAGCUCAAAAUUUAAAUCUGACUUGGUUAUACCUAUCAGAGUUGUAAUUUGAAGAAGCGUUUUCCGCGUCUCGGUUGACCCAAGUUCUUUAAGAUAAGGCAUCAUGGAGGGUGAGAAUCCCGUUCGGUUGACCUUAUGUCGCUUUACGAUACGCUUUCUAAGAGUCGAGUUGUUUGGGAUUGCAGCUCAAAAUGGGAGGUAAAUUUCUCCUAAGGCUAAAUAUCGGCGAGAGACCGAUAGCGAACAAGUACCGUGAGGGAAAGAUGAAAAGAACUUUGAAAAGAGAGUUAAAUAGUACGUGAAAUUGUUGAAAGGGAAACGAUUGAAGUCAGUCGUACCGACGAGAAAUCAGCUCUUUGAGUGCGUUCUUGUGGGCGUGUGUUGAGUCUUUAACGGGCCUCACUGUUUGCAUGUUUGUGCUUUUUGGGUGUACUUUUUCGUAUGGUAGGCCAACGUCAGUCUCGAUUACCAUAAAAUGAUCAGAGGAAUGUAGCUUCGAUUUCGACUGAAGUGUUAUAGCCUUUGGUAGAUGUGGUAACCGAAACUGAGGAUUGCAACGAAUACCUUUUGGGCUAUCCGUCUGACCUCUGAAAGUUACUUAGGUGCCGAAAGCUUGCUUACGGUUAUUUAAGUUGGCGGUCAAUAGGUUAGAACGUGAUUACAUUCGUUAAGGACGUUGGCGUAAUGGCUUUAAACGACCCGUCUUGAAACACGGACCAAGGAGUCUAACAUGUGUGCGAGUGUUU
rnacentral:rRNA from 1 species